rnacentral:rRNA from 1 species
UUGUGGUUAAAAAGCUCGUAGUCGGAUCUCAACAGCCUUGAAGCGGUUAACUUUGUAGUUUUACUGCUUUAUAGGCUGUGCUUUUGCUGGAGGUUUAGGGGUGCUCUUGAUCGAGUGUCUCUGGAUGCCAGCAGGUUUACUUUGAAAAAAUUAGAGUGCUCAAAGCAGGCUAAAAUGCCUGAAUAUUCGUGCAUGGAAUAAUAGAAUAGGAUGUCGAUCCUAUUUUGUUGGUUUUCGGGACUCGACAUAAUGAUAAAUAGGGACAGUCGGGGGCAUUUGUAUUCAAACGACAGAGGUGAAAUUCUUGGACCGUUUGAAGACAAACUACUGCGAAAGCAUUUGCCAAGAAUGUUUUCAUUAAUCAAGAACGAAAGUUAGAGGUUCGAAGGCGAUUAGAUACCGCCCUAGUUCUAACCAUAAACGAUGCCAGCUAGCGAUCUGCCUGCGUUUUUACUGUAGACUGGGCAGGAAGCUUCCGGGAAACCAAAGCAUUUGGGUUCCAGGGAAAGUAUGGUUGCAAAGCUGAAACUUAAAGGAAUUGACGGAAGGGCACCACCGGGAGUGGAGCCUGUGGCUUAAUUUGACUCAACACGGGAAAUCUCACCAGGCCCGGACACUGGAAGGAUUGACAGAUUGAUAGCUCUU